rnacentral:rRNA from 1 species
UGUGAGUUUGAUCCUGGCUCAGAGUUAACGCUAGUGGCGCGCAUCAAUACAUGCAAGUUUUUGUUGAUUUUUUCUAAUUUAUUAGGAAAAGGAAAUUAAGCGAACGGGUGAGGAUAAAACGAGUAUUUGCCUUUAGGUCUGGGAUAAGAGUCUAAGUUUUCAUCAAAUUUUUGAAGUUAAUAUGACUUAAUACCGGAUAUUGAAAAUUACGAUGCCUAAAGAUAAGCUGGUUGAAGAUUAGGUAGUUGGUAAGGUAACAGCUUACCAAGCCAAUGAUCUUUAGUGGUACUGAGAGGUAGAACCACCACACGGGAACUGAGACAAGGUCCCGACUCAUUUAGAGGCAGCAGUAGGGAAUUUUGGACAAUGAAGGAAACUUUGAUCCAGCGACGCCACAUGGAGGAAAACCUAAACGAAGGCAAAAGUGUUGUAAACUCCAUAUCUUUGGGAAGAAAAUGACAUUACCAAAAGACAAGUCCUGGCUAAUCUUGUGCCAGCCGCCGCGGUAAUACAAGAAGGGCGAGCGUUAUUCGGAAUGAUUUGGUCUAAAAAAUCUGUAGGUGGUUUAAUUAGGUUGAUAGUUAGAAGCUUUUCUCUCAAAGAAAAAGAAAUUAUCAAAACCAUUAAACUUUGAGUUAAAGAGGGGAAAAUAGAAUUCCUAGGGUACGAUUGAAAUUGGUAAAUACUAGGAGGAAUUACAGAGGCGAAGGCGAUUUUCUGGCUUUAACUGACACUGGAGGAUGAAAGCAUGGGCAGUAAUCGGGAUUAGAGACCCCAGUAAAUCCAUGCCGUAAAAUAUGUAUGUUCGUUUUUUGGUUGACUUUUCGGAGUUAAUUGGGAGACUAAGCGAAGGCGUUAAACAUACUACCUGGGGAGUACGGUCGCAAGGCUGAAACUCAAAGGAAUUGACGGGAGCAUAAUACAAGUGGUGGAUGACGGGAGUUAAUUCGAUGAUACGCGCAAAACCUUACCAGUUCUAGACUGUCUUCUUUGGAAGAAUACAAGUGUUGCAUGGUUGUCGUCAGUUCGUGUUGUGAGAUUUUUGGUUAAGUCCUCCAACGAACGCAACCCCUAUCCUAUGUUUACUUUUUUCUAAAUUAAUUAUACUGGUUUCAAUAGCCAAUAUCACUAGAAAAUAUACCAUGGGAAACUGCUUAGGAUAACUAAGAGGAAGGUGGGGAUGAUGUGCAAAUCAUCAUGGCCUUUAUGAACUGGGCUGUACCCGUCAUACAAUGGUAAGGACAGCGAGAAGCAAUGGAGUGAUCCGGAGCAAAUCUUAGAAACCUUAUCUUAGUUUGGAUUGAAGACUGCAACUCGUCUUCAUGAAAGUGGAAUCACUAGUAAUCGCGGAUCAGCAUGCUGCGGUGAAUCCGUUCUUAUGCUUUGUACAGACCGCCCGUCACAUCCUGAAAUUCUUGGAGAUCUGAAACGUUUAAGUCUAACCUUUUUAAUCGAAAGAUAAGGAAGACACUCACUAGGACCUACGGGAAAAUUAUGAUGAAGUCGUAACAAGGUAGCCGUAGAGGAAUCUGUGGCUGAAUAAAUACU